GGGUCGGUAGUCUAGUCCGGUUAUGACAGCUCCUUCACACGGAGCAGGCCGGCGGUUCGAAUCCGCCCCGACCCA
rnacentral:tRNA from 1 species